rnacentral:rRNA from 1 species
UAGCCAUGCAUGUCUAAGUACAUACCUUUAAACGGUGAAACCGCGAAUGGCUCAUUAAAUCAGCUAUGGUUCCUUAGAUCGUACCUACUACAUGGAUAACUGUAGUAAUUCUAGAGCUAAUACAUGCCACUAUGCCCUGACCCGCAAGGGGACGGGUGGAUUUAUUAGAACAGAACCAACCGUGUUGUGGCUUCGGCUGCUUCCGUUGCACUCUGUGAUGACUCUGGAUAACUUCACUGAUCGCAGUCGGCCUUGAGUCGGCGACGGAUCUUUCAAAUGUCUGCCCUAUCAAUUUUCGAUGGUAGGUGACCUGCCUACCAUGGUGAUAACGGGUAACGGGGAAUCAGGGUUCGAUUCCGGAGAGGGAGCCUGAGAAACGGCUACCACUUCCAAGGAAGGCAGCAGGCGCGCAAACUACCCAAUCCCGGAACGGGGAGGUGGUGACGAAAAAUACGGAUACGGGACUCAAUUGAGGCUCCGUAAUUCGAAUGAGUACAAUUUAAAUCCUUUAACGAGGAUCAACUGGAGGGCAAGUCUGGUGCCAGCAGCCGCGGUAACUCCAGCUCCAGAAGCGUAUAUUAAAGUUGUUGCAGUUAAAAAGCUCGUAGUUGGAUCUGGGUCGUAUGGCUGCGUGCUGUUGCUCGUAUUCCUGACUUGGUUAACGCUGGGCCGGGUUUGCGGGUCGGUGUCGUGGCUGUGCAGCCUUUCUGCCGUGUCUGUUUUUACAGGUGCCGGCCUAAUCGAUGGGUUCAUCUCGUUGGUUGGUUGGCAUGCUCUUUGAUGCCUUUGAACGGGUGUCGGGGGCGGACGGUGCGUUUACUUUGAACAAAUUUGAGUGCUCAAAGCAGGCUUGUGCCUGAAAAUUCUUGCAUGGAAUAAUGGAAUAGGACUUCGGUUCUAUUUUGUUGGUUUUCGGAUCCGAAGUAAUGGUUAAGAGGGACAGACGGGGGCAUUUGUAUGGCGGUGUUAGAGGUGAAAUUCUUGGAUCGCCGCCAGACAAACUACAGCGAAAGCAUUUGCCAAGGAUGUUUUCAUUGAUCUGGAGCGAAAGUCAGAGGUUCGAAGACGAUCAGAUACCGUCCUAGUUCUGACCAUAAACGAUGCCAACUGACGAUCCGUGGGUGAUCUUUUAAUGACCCUGCGGGCAGUCCCCGGGAAACCUUUAAGUCUUUGGGCUCCGGGGGAAGUAUGGUUGCAAAGCUGAAACUUAAAGGAAUUGACGGAAGGGCACCACCAGGAGUGGAGCCUGCGGCUUAAUUCGACUCAACACGGGAAAACUCACCCGGCCCGGACACUGUGAGGAUUGACAGAUUGAUAGCUCUUUCUUGAUUCGGUGGUUGGUGGUGCAUGGCCGUUCUUAGUUGGUGGAGCGAUUUGUCUGGUUAAUUCCGAUAACGAACGAGACUUUGGCCUGCUAAAUAGUGUACCUGUCCUCUGUGCUCGUGUAGGUGGCGGUUUUCUCUGCCCGUUCGCGGGUGGGUGAGGCUGUUCAUCGGCGGGUACUGC